GCCUCUAUAGCACAGUGGUAGUGCGUUGCACUUGUACUUACAAUCAAGUAAUACCUGAUAUGCAAAGGUCCCUCGUUCGAUCCGGGGUGGAGGCA